UCUAAUUGAGUUUCAGUUACAAAGUAAAAAUAAACGAAAAAUAAGCAGCUAGCCGAACUUGUGGGACGAUCAGAGCAGUGGCGGCCAUCUGAGCGGUGAUGGGCACCAUGCAGCGUCCGGCGGCUCUGGCUGGCCGGAAGCGGUUUCAGGUGACGUUUGUGGUCCGUGACGAGGUGGAGCGGUGCCACCGAGCGGGCGUCAACUCGCUCCAGUAUGACGCCCACCUGCAGCGGCUCUUCACCGCCGGACGAGAUGGCGUCAUAAGGAUGUGGAACUGUAAGAACACAAAGGAGCCGUACAUCCAGUCUAUGGAGCACCACACCGACUGGGUCAAUGACAUUGUCCUCUGCUGCGGCGGCAGGAACCUAAUUUCGGCCAGCUCGGACACAACCGUGAAGGUUUGGAGCGCCCACAAGGGCCUCUGUAUGUCCACACUGCGCACACACAAGGACUAUGUCAAGGCACUUGCUUACGCCAAGGAGAAGGAGCACGUGGCGUCAGCGGGUCUGGACAAGUCCAUCUUCCUCUGGGACGUCAACACACUGACCGCCCUCACCACCAGCAACAACAUAGUCACCACCUCAUCACUGAACGGCAGCAAGUUCAGCAUCUACAGCCUGGGCAUGAACGAGCUCGGCACGGUGGUAAUUGCCGGCAGCACGGAGAAACUGCUGCGCGUCUGGGACCCGCGCACCUGCGACCGGCUCAUGAAGCUCAGAGGUCACGCGGAUAACGUGCGCGCCGUGCUGGUCAGCCGCGACGGCACCCAGUGUCUGUCGGGCUCCUCAGACGGCACCGUCAAACUGUGGUCGCUCGGUCAGCAGCGAUGCAUCACCACGCUGCAGCUGCACGACUCCGUCUGGGCGCUGCAGGUGAGCCCCGACUUCAGCCGAGUGUACUCGGGCGGCCGGGACCGGCGGCUGCUGGUGACCAACCUGCGUCAGCCCGACUCCAGUCUGCUACUGGCCGAAGAGACGGCGCCCAUCCUCCGCAUGGCGCUGGUCGGGGACGAGUCCAUCUGGGUCUCCACCGCCGAGAGCUCCGUCAAAAACUGGUCUCUGAAGAACGUGGACCGUCUGCUGGAUGACGCACAGGCGGACUUCCUGACACCAGUGGCCAGCCAGCCGACUCGGGUUAUCGAGGGCGCUCCCAGCAUCAAACAGUACAAGGUGCUUAACGACAAGCGGCACGUGCUGACUCGAGACAGUGAUGGACAGGUGGCACUCUACGACGUCCUCUAUGCUAAGAAGGUGGAGGACCUGGGUCAGAUAGACCUGGAAGCCGAAGCCGAGCGCCGCUUUAAGAUGGUGUACGUGCCCAACUGGUUCAGCAUCGACCUGAAGACCGGGUACCUCUCUGUGCACCUGAGCCAGGACGAGGUGGACUGUUUCUCGGCCUGGGUCAGCGCCAAGGAGGCCGGACUGCAGACCUCCGAUGGCGUCGAUCAAAAAGUGAACUACGGCCGGCUGCUGCUGCAGGCGCUGCUCGAACACUGGCCGCGCACCUUCCAACUGGAGCCCGGAGCCGAGAACGGCUCAGACGCACAGGCGCUGGCCAAGCCCGUCGGCAACGAGUACUUCUCCGUACCGCCGCACACGCCCGUCAUUUUCAGCGAGGCGGGCGGCAGGUUUUUCUACCGGCUCCUAUGUCGGGACGCCGUCGGAGAGUCCGAAGGGACGCUGAACGAAAUGGUGCCCGACUGGGUGGUCGACUGCGUCGUCGAAAGAAACACACCCAAAUUCAUCAAGGUGCCCUUCUACCUACAGCCGCACGCGUCAGCAUCAAACAGCAUCAAACACCAGAAAAAGGACCGGCUGAUUGCCAACGACUUCAUCCAGGUGCGGAAGGUAGUGGAGCACGUCUACGAGAAGGUGCUGGGCACAAACUCGGAGGCGAUGGGCGGCGGACCGGCCCAGCCGCCCCCGCCGGCCGCCGGCGCAGAGGCCGAUGAUAGGACGGAGGGGUCAGCCACACUGGCGGAGGAUAAGGUCGAGCUGCUCUGUAAUGAACAGCAGGCUACUCACGAUUGGCGGUUAUCGGCUGUACAGGAGUGAUCGCCAGAGUGACCGCGGACUGGCUCGGGGACACGGUGGGGUGGCGUUGCUGGUCCGCGAGGCGCACAGAGUAGAGGUGCUACCGACGCCCGUGACCGGAGUCGCGAACUCGAAUGUAGAGGUGCUGGACCUCAACAUGGACCUGCGCACAGUGCGUCACUUCAUCUGGAAAAACUCUGCCGACCUUCAGCUGCACUACCG
rnacentral:misc_RNA from 1 species